rnacentral:rRNA from 1 species
AAAGGAAUAGACGGGGACCCGCACAAGCGGUGGAUGAUGUGGAUUAAUUCGAUGCAACGCGAAAAACCUUACCUACCCUUGACAUGUCAGGAAUCCUAAAGAGAUUUGGGAGUGCUCGAAAGAGAACCUGAACACAGGUGCUGCAUGGCUGUCGUCAGCUCGUGUCGUGAGAUGUUGGGUUAAGUCCCGCAACGAGCGCAACCCUUGUCAUUAGUUGCUACGAAAGGGCACUCUAAUGAGACUGCCGGUGACAAGCCGGAGGAAGGUGGGGAUGACGUCAAGUCCUCAUGGCCCUUAUGGGUAGGGCUUCACACGUCAUACAAUGGUGCAUACAGAGGGUUGCCAAGCCGCGAGGUGGAGCUAAUCCCAGAAAGUGCAUCGUAGUCCGGAUUGAAGUCUGCAACUCGACUUCAUGAAGUUGGAAUCGCUAGUAAUCGCGGAUCAGCAUGUCGCGGUGAAUACGUUCCCGGGUCUUGUACACACCGCCCGU